GUUUGCACUUGUCGGGGAAGGGUGAGAACCUUCGAUUAAGGUUCGACUCGAGCGAAAGCGAGAGAACGUUGCCAACGGCAACGGCCCGUAGGGUGAGGAGCGAAGCGACGAAUAAUCCUUCCACCACCACCA
rnacentral:sRNA from 3 species